CGGUAACAGGGGGUGCUUGCACCCCGCUGACGAGCGGCGGACGGGUGAGUAAUGCAUAGGAAACUGCCCAGUAGUGGGGGAUAGCCCGGGGAAACCCGGAUUAAUACCGCAUACGCCCUUUGGGGGAAAGCAGGGGAUCUUCGGACCUUGCGCUAUUGGAUGUGCCUAUGUCGGAUUAGCUAGUUGGUGGGGUAAGAGCCUACCAAGGCGACGAUCCGUAGCUGGUCUGAGAGGAUGAUCAGCCACAUCGGGACUGAGACACGGCCCGAACUCCUACGGGAGGCAGCAGUGGGGAAUAUUGGACAAUGGGGGCAACCCUGAUCCAGCCAUGCCGCGUGUGUGAAGAAGGCUUUCGGGUUGUAAAGCACUUUCAGUGAGGAGGAAAACCUUGCGAUUAAUACUCGUAAGGCUUGACGUUACUCACAGAAGAAGCACCGGCUAACUCCGUGCCAGCAGCCGCGGUAAUACGGAGGGUGCAAGCGUUAAUCGGAAUUACUGGGCGUAAAGCGCGCGUAGGUGGUUUGAUAAGCGAGAUGUGAAAGCCCCGGGCUCAACCUGGGAACGGCAUUUCGAACUGUCAGGCUAGAGUAUGGUAAAGGAGUGUGGAAU
rnacentral:rRNA from 1 species